GUCAGAGCCGUAUCUCCCUGCAGCUCUCGGCUGGUUUCCCACUGAAGCUAAGCAGGGUCGAGCCUGGUCGGUACCUGGAUGGGAGACCUCCUGGGGAAAACUAAGGUUGCUGCUGGAA
rnacentral:rRNA from 1 species